CUACCUCUCCUCCUACCCCUCUCAGUCUGCGUAUAGUACGCCCCCCCCCCGGGAUGCAGCUCAAGCUUCUUUAGCCUCGUUUCCUCAUUAGCAUUAGCGACCAGGCUAACACGGGGUGCUGUGUACAGUAAGGAUGUGGGUCUGUGUGUGGCUGGUGGCCCUGUGUGUGUGUGUUGGCAUGGGGGUAGCCCCUCCCCGGUGACCCCCGUGGGGUGCAAGGGCCCGGAGGUCCAGAGGAAGGCCUGGACCAGAUCAAUACUGACCUCACCGAAGGAUUCAUCCUCAGCCUCAACAGAGUCUAUGAUGUCAGCCAGUAGACAGGGGUGAGGCUAGUCAACUAGCUACUGUAUUGAACUGUACUACUCUUCCCUGUCUAAUAAAAGGGUUUUUAUAGUUAAUGAAUCAAUGCAAGAGUUUUUUAUUUUCCUGUCUUUUGAGCACAAAUUUUACAAAAAAGAUAAAGGAAGGAGCAGGCGUGCUGUUCAACCUGACCAUAGACGUGCUGGAGACAAAGUGUCAUGUGAUCAGCAAGAAGCCGUGGAAGAAAUGUGAAGUAAAGGAUGUAGCUAACGUAUCAUGCCUGCCACGGUCAUCGUCGACACGUGUCCAGACUGUCCAACAGUAGUGCAGCUGGAUGAUCCCAUCCUAGCGGAGACGACCAAUCUGAUCCUCCAGAAAUACAAUAGAAUGAAUCGCCUGCCAAACUACUUCACCCUCCUCAACGUAACAGGAGCGAGAAUACAGUGGGUGGUGGGUCCGGCCUAUUUUGUAGAGUUCACCAUCAGAGAGACGGUCUGUGCUAAGGACACUCCUGACGUCGAUUUGACCCAGUGUAAAAUGAUGGACUGUGAAUUUGCAGUGAGUACAGUACCACACUACAUCUACACACUGUCUGUCACGUGUUUUGAAAUAGGGAAAAGGGAACAAAAAUGAUGAUUUGUAUGUGGCGAGCUGACAGCAGAGGAAAGCAGACUACUGUAGAACCACAUCAGUCUCAGUGAGAUCACUAGCAUCAUAUCGUGUUUCUCUAUUUGAGCAAUCCAAUUCCGUUUUCUGUCGCCUAGCACAAGGCCUUCUGCACAGGCUCUCACACCACUCUGGAUGAUGGCACAUUUCAGACCAAACUCCCCAUCGAGGUGAAGUGUAAAAUCUUUGAACCAGAGGCUGCCAAGGCAGAGGAGGAGGCCCAUGUCAGAGGAGACAGUGGGCAUCAGAGUGAAGAUGAGGACCAUAAACACGCGCACACACACCUGCACCCCUAUGAGCACCACCACCACCCCCCCAACUCCAAUCAGGCUUCCCCCAGACUGAAGGGCUCGUUGGGUAUAGUGGUGGUUCUACCACCCCCUCAUGUGCCACCGCCUCCAAGAGCCUCAGCAGCAGCAAGCCACUGUCCAGCCAAGAGGAUUGAUUUGAGCCAAGAGGAAAACUAACCUGGGACUGGACAGGUUUCCAAUUUGAUUGAUAAACAUCUUCCGCUACUGCAAUAACAGCUUAUUAACACUUUCCUGAGAUACAAAGCUACUUUGGUAACAAAGGAAAACUGAAAGAACUAUGACUCAAAACACUUCCCCUAUUUUGCCCUAGCUGGACAAUGUUCACCUUUUUGUUGUUGUUGUUGCUGCUGCUGCUGCUGUUGUUGUUGUUGUUGUUGUUGUUGUUGUUGCUGUUGUUGUUGUUGUUGUUGCUGUUGUUGUUGCUGUUGUUGCUGUUGUUGUUGUUGUUGUUGUUGUUGUUGUUGCUGCUAUCUCAGAUCACAUGCGGAAAGAAUUCCACAACAUUGUACUGUAUGAUAAUAACUAUGAUAGCUUGUAAAUUUAUCAGAGCAAUAAAUGUAUAGUUCAGCCUACAAUGUAUACAGUAUAUUUUCAGUGGUUAUAAUCAUGUAUUGUGUGAUUGUAGCCAAUUCAAUUGACCAUUAAAAAUGUUUUCAUCUGAUGAGAA